rnacentral:misc_RNA from 1 species
GGUCCCUACGGGAUCGGGAAAUUUUGCCAUCUCUGUAGUGUGGUCAAAAUGACGCUCACAACCAGAAGCGGAUAGAUGAGGAAUUAUUAGAGCAGAACAAGUAAACUCUGGAGCUGAAAAGAACUUCAUGUGUUUUGCGCAUUCUUUCAUAGUUGCAGACAAGAAGGGUGUGUUGCAGGUGAAAUGGAUGUUGCAUUUCUCAUGGUAUCUCAAGACAGUAGGAUUUGUGAAGGAAGAAUUCACAAUCAACGAUGGCUACCUUGUUGCUUCUAGCAUUUAGAGUCACCGCUCAUUGCUGGAGAAGGUCGAAGGCUGACCCGUGUUGAUCCUUUGGCCAAAGGGGAAGAACGGACAGGGAGAGGGCA